GGCUCAGUAGCUCAGUUGGUAGAGCAAAGGACUGAAAAUCCUUGUGUCGGCGGUUCGAUUCCGUCCUGAGCCA
rfam:Domibacillus enclensis strain NIO-1016 genome assembly, contig: Ga0061089_117